rnacentral:misc_RNA from 1 species
AACGCACCUUGCACUCUUUGGUAUUCCGAAGAGUAUGUCUGUUUGAGUGUCGUGAAACUCUCAACCCCCUUGUUUUGUAAUGAGACAGGCUGUGGGCUUGGAUUAUGGCUGUUCUGUCGGAUCUUAAUCAGACCGGCUCGGCUGAAAUAUACGAGCGGACCCGUGCAUAUGAAAUGCAGCGACGGUUUGACUUGGCGUAAUAAUUCUUUUCGCUGAGGACGUCUAGCACUUUUUCAAUUGUAUACGUGGUUGCUUCUAAUACACAAUCACCUCUUAAGCUUUAGACCUCAAAUCAGGCAGGGCUACCCGCUGAACUUAA